CCCCGCCGUGCCUGCGGAGAGAGGCGGGUCCUGUCGGCGGGGCGGGGCCGAUAGCAGGCCGCCCCGCCCCCCACGGCCCCAGGCUCUUGGACGGCGAAGAGGUCUGGGCGUAGCGGUGACGAAUCCUAAGACGGGAUCUCCACUACUGCGGCCACACACUUUUCUCCCAAAUGCUUCCCGGAAAGCACCGGAGGGCCAGGCAGUCAGACUGGAACACUGCCUCCCAUUGUAUGGGUGAAAUACCUCGCGGACAUGUCUUACGGCGCCCCAUGAAAGCAUCACCAUUAAUCUGACCAGUCACCGCAGCAUUAGUAUCUUCAGGGCACAGAUGAAGCCGUGGGCACCAGUGAUAAGGAGUUGCCACUGCUGGCUAAGUGCGGAGCCUCACACAUCUGUGGCCCAGAAACCCACACCCCACUCCAAACCCUCUAUAGCUCCAACAGUUAUGCUAACAAGAAAAAGGAGUGAAAACCCGCUCCAGUUACGGUAUUGUGGAGGUGGAGGACACUUGUGGCAGCCAAUCCAACACCUCCAUUUUAUAGCUGGUGUAAACAUAGUUCAGAAAGGUUGUCCCACUUGCUGAAAGUCACACAGCAGUUCCUGGGCGGCAAAGUGAGGACAUCCAGGUCUCCUAAAUCUCACCCUCGUGCUCUGCCCACUUGACUGGGCUUUUCAAUCCUGGCUGUCAAAGAGAAGCACCAAGUCCACUUGGGCUCCUGGCCAGCAUCCAGGCCAGUCCAACUCAACAGCAAGCGGAAGCAAAUACCACACAAUGAACUCGUUGAACAGACUCUGCGCUCAGGCUUAACCAGUGCACAGCCUGCACACCCGACAGGCGGAUACAGCUGUUCCAAGCUAAGGCCAGGGCCUCUCCCCAAUCCCAAUGGGCUCUGCAGGUGCAGUGAUGGAAGAAUCCCUGGUGACAGGGAGCCCUUAGCUCUGAGCAGGACCUGAAGCCAUCUCAGGGCUUGCACCGGUCCAGAUGCUGCUGCACAAGUGCUACAGGGGCUCCUGCCCUGCCCUCCUCACCUGCCCCCUCACCUGUCAGGGAUGUUUGAUUCCUGGCUGGCCCCUCCCCUACCUGACCCCUGCCAAAGACCUACGCCACCCCAGGCUCCCAGCUCUGAAGCAAACGCCAGAGAAGUCAAGCGCCUGGCUGCGGGCCACACAGCUUGAGGGACUCAGAGCUCCAGGGACAGUGCCCGGGCCCUGCUCAGGCCUUCUGCAGAGGCUCUGGGCUCUUCCAGUUGACUCAGCUCACAGGGCCCCUACACGGUACCAGGUGAAGACACAGCCCCAAGAACUCCCAGGCUCUGAAGCCACACAUGUGAGCUGUGGGCAGAAUCCUGCAUUGGCCUCCAGCAGCUCGAGAGCACAGGGACAAAGCUGGACUGGCCCCAGGGUCACCGUGGCCUUGGUUUUGUAGCAGCUGCAGUUUGAGCACGUACACCAAAAAUAAAAUUCUAAGCCCCCUAA